AGUAUACCAGUGUAAACCACAACGUGAACCCAGAAUUCUUGGAAGCCUGAGUUUUGGCAGUCUUGGUAACAAAUGGUGGCCAAUUGGUCAUUGCACAGACUAUGUAUGAUCACAUGCUCUUCCCCUCCCAUCUCCCUCCACCCCCUCCAUAGACUUGUAUUACGUGUCUUGCAGUCACAGGACAAAGCUGAGCUGAUUUUCAGAGUGAAAGAGCAUGGGGAGUAGUUGCACUUUUGGAAGGCUGACUAAUAUCAGGUACAGCAACACUGCUCCCUUGCAAACUUGGGCUGCUAAAGUUUUCAAGCAUCUCAGCCAUGUGUAAUCUUUCACUUGACCGGUCCAUACUGCUACAUGUCACGACCCUGUGAGGGGGAAGUCUGACCUGUUUGUGGAUUAUUUUACACAUGAUUCGAGCACUGCUUGGCAAUUGCACC